rnacentral:ncRNA from 1 species
GGAUGAGAGAUACACCCCGCCCGCAGGGGACUGCGGGCGAACCGGGUGGGAGCCUCCCGGCUUCGACCUGGGCGUGCCCUCGCGCACACCACCGGAGCCCAAGGUUUCGGAUUCCACACCGAUCGGA